rnacentral:rRNA from 1 species
CUCCAGACUCCUACGGGAGGCAGCAGUGGGGAAUAUUGCACAAUGGGGGAAACCCUGAUGCAGCGACGCCGCGUGAAGGAAGAAGUAUUUCGGUAUGUAAACUUCUAUCAGCAGGGAAGAAAAUGACGGUACCUGACUAAGAAGCCCCGGCUAACUACGUGCCAGCAGCCGCGGUAAUACGUAGGGGGCAAGCGUUAUCCGGAUUUACUGGGUGUAAAGGGGGCGCAGACGGCAGCGCAAGCCAGGAGUGAAAGCCCGGGGCCCAACCCCGGGACUGCUCUUGGAACUGCGCGGCUGGAGUGCAGGAGGGGCAGGCGGAAUUCCUGGUGUAGCGGUGAAAUGCGUAGAUAUCAGGAGGAACACCGGUGGCGAAGGCGGCCUGCUGGACUGCGACUGACGUUGAGGCCCGAAAGCGUGGGGAGCAAACAGGAUUAGAUACCCCCGUA